GGAGGACGAUCCAAUGCCAAAACUGAAAGGCUGGCGAAGAUUCCUAUGUUGCAUUAAAGCAAACAAACAACAGAAGAAAGAGAAAAAAGAGAAGCGUGGGUUAUUUACCAGGCUGCGACAUUUGUUUAGCCGUCUUUAAUUUGUGAAAGAAUUUUACAAAUAUGUUGUCUAUAAUUAAAAAAUGUGUGAAGAAAGCAUUCCAUUGGUGAAAAGGCAUAAAUUAUGAUUGGAACAAUUCACUUAUUAUAAUUAUCAUACCUAGAAAAGAAAGAUGUUAAUGUUUCUAAAUAAAAUCUUAUAUUUAUCUGUU